rnacentral:rRNA from 1 species
AUAUGGUCAAGUUACUAAGGGUGUAUGGGGGAUGUCUAGGCGUCGAGAGGCGAUGAAGGACGUGGUAGGCUGCGAUAAGCCCGGGGCAGGUGCCGAACAACCGUUUAUCCCGGGAUGUCCGAAUGGGGCAACCCGCCGUCACUGGGCAACCAGAUGGCGGCAUCUCCGGCUGAAUGCAUAGGCCGGAUGAAGCGAACGCAGGGAACUGAAACAUCUAAGUACCUGCAGGAAAGGAAAUCAACCGAGACUCCGUCAGUAGCGGCGAGCGAAAGCGGAAGAGCCCAAACCAGGGGGCUUGCUCCCUGGGGUUGCGGGCGCCGACACACGCCGUGUGAUGAUUAGCGGAACGGUCUGGAAAGUCCGACCAUAGACGGUGAAAGUCCCGUACGCGAAAAUCUGAUCACGGUGUCGGCGUACCAGAGUAGCACGGAGCUCGUGGAACUCCGUGUGAAGCUGGGGGGCCCACCCUCCAAGGCUAAGUACUACUCGACGACCGAUAGUGGAAAGUAGGGCGACUGAACGAUGAAAAGUACCCCUAUUAGGGGAGUUAAAAGUACCUGAAACCAUACACCUACAAGCGGUAGGAGCCCUAUGCCCGCCUUCGGGCGGGAACGGGUGACUACGUGCCUUUUGCAUAAUGAGCCGGCGAGUUACCGUUUGCGGCAAGGUUAAGCACCUCAGGUGCGUAGCCGUAGCGAAAGCGAGUCUGAACAGGGCGAAUUCAGUCGCAGGUGGUAGACGCGAAGCCAGGUGAUCUACCCAUGGCCAGGUUGAAGGGGAUGUAAAAGUCCCUGGAGGACCGAACUCACUAGCGUUGAAAAGCUAGGGGAUGAGCUGUGGGGAGGAGUAAAAGUCUAAUCAAACCUGGAGAUAUCUCGUUCUCUCCGAAAUAGCUUUUGGGCUAGCCUCGAGUGAUACUUCACGGGGGUAGAGCUACUGAAUGGGGAUGGGGGGCCACCAGCCUACCCACCCCAACCAAACUCCGAAUACCGUGAAGCGUAUCUCGGGAGUCAGACUGCGGGGGAUAACCUUCGUAGUCAAGAGGGAAACAACCCAGAUCGCCAGCUAAGGUCCCAGAGUCUUGCUAAGUUCAUAAGGAAGUCGGAUUGCAGUGACAGCCAGGAUGUUGGCUUAGAAGCAGCCACCAUUUAAAAAGUGCGUAAUAGCUUACUGGUCGAGCAGUUUGGCGCCGAUAAUGAACGGGAAUAAGCAAGACACCGAAGCUGCGGGCUUGUGCCUCGGUUCGCCGGGGCGCGAGCGGUAGGAGAGCGUUGCUGACCGCGUCGAAGCCGUACGGAAACGAGCGGUGGAGCGUCAGCAAGUGAUUAUGCCGGCAUGAGUAACGAUAAAGCAGGUGAGAAUCCUGCUCGCCGAAAGCCUAAGGUUUCCUGGGGAAGGUAAAUCCGCCCAGGGUUAGUCGGACCCUUAGUCGAGGCUGAAAGGCGUAGACGAUGGACAGCAGGUUAAUAUUCCUGCACUACGUACCGAAGGUUUGGACUCUGGGGGUGACGCGGUGUUCAAGGCUGGAAGCUGAUUAGUCGUGGCUAUUGUGCCCGAGGUGUCGCCGGUAGGCAAAUCCGCCGGCGCCAAGACACCGAGGGACCGCGAGGGCCGAUUUGAUGCCCGAGCAGCCGGAUACACCGCCGAGAAAAACCUCAAAGAGGACGACGGUGCGUAUCCGUACUAAAACUGACACAGGUAGGCGAGGAGAAUAUCCUAAGGCGCUCGAGAGAACGGUCUUUAAGGAACUAGGCAAUUUGACCCCGUAAGUUCGCGAUAAGGGGUCCCUCCAGACGUGCUUAUUUUCGAGUGAGCACGUGCUGAGGGCGCAGUGAAGUGGCUCUGGCGACUGUUUAUCAAAAACACAGUUCUCUGCCAACACAUAAAGUGGAUGUAUAGAGAAUGACGCCUGCUCGGUGCCGGAAGGUUAAGAGGAUGGGUUAUCCCUUCGGGGAGAAGCUCCUAAUUGAAGCCCCGGUAAACGGCGGCCGUAACUAUGACGGUCCUAAGGUAGCGAAGUUCCUUGUCGGGUAAGUUCCGACGUGCAUGAACGGCGUAACGACUGGAGCACUGUCUCAAAGACCGACUCGGUGAAAUUGUAG